rnacentral:rRNA from 1 species
UAGAGUUUGAUUCCUGGCUCAGAUUGAACGCUGGCGGCAUGCCUAACACAUGCAAGUCGCACGCGAAAGGGGGCAACCCCGAGUAGAGUGGCGGACGGGUGCGUAAUGCUUGGGAAUCUACCUCGUAGUGGGGGACAACCCGGCGAAAGCCGGGCUAAUACCGCAUACGAUCUACGGAUGAAAGCGGGGGACCGCAAGGCCUCGCGCUAUGAGAUGAGCCCAAGUCCUAUCAGCUAGUUGGUGAGGUAACGGCUCACCAAGGCAACGACGGGUAGCUGGUCUGAGAGGACGACCAGCCACACUGGGACUGAGACACGGCCCAGACUCCUACGGGAGGCAGCAGUGGGGAAUAUUGGACAAUGGGGGCAACCCUGAUCCAGCAAUGCCGCGUGUGUGAAGAAGGCCUUCGGGUUGUAAAGCACUUUCGAUGGGGACAAACAAGUUCGACCUAAUACGUCGGACUCUGAUGUACCCAGAGAAGAGCACCG